AUCCGGCUGACGAGUCCCGAAUACGACGAAACGCACAUCCUGGAU
rfam:Schistosoma curassoni strain Dakar, Senegal genome assembly, scaffold: SCTD_scaffold0003850